UGAGGCUUUGCUCAGGGUGUAAUGAUGUGAACAUCUCAAGGCUAAUUUGUUUAUUAUAGUUUUGGAGCGGCGCUGGGGGCGCGUGCGUUCAGUGAUAGUAACAUUAGCCUCGCGUGCGUUCAGUGAUAGUAACAUUAGCCGCGCGUGCGUUCAGUGAUAGUAACAUUAGCCGCGCGUGCGUUCAGUGAUAGUAACAUUAGCCGCGCGUGCGUUCAGUGAUAGUAACAUUAGCCGCGCGUGCGUUCAGUGAUAGUAACAUUAGCCGCGCGUGCGUAAUCAUACAACUUCGUGUCUGAAGUUUGUUCAACCCAAUAGAGCUGUUUAACUGCCUCUAUUUCAUGUGGUGGUGUCAGUGGGCCUGAGUGUUCUAGCCACCACAUCACAGUGUCUGUAAUAUUUUAGUUUUUCUUUCUUUGCUUAUUGUUUAGUGUAUUGUGUAAUUCUGGGUUAAUUGGUGUUUUUCUUUCUCUCCAGGAGCCAGUGAGUCUUGGUGGACAGAGGGAAGCUAGCUGCCUUCAUUCGGUGGUGUGUGCUUCACAGCGUGCUCAGUGUCCCGGCACAACAACUUCCUUGUGGUGUAGGUAGUGUUUAAUGAUUUGGUUUUAAUUAAGGUGGGUUUGGAUGACCUCCCAGGAAGUAGCUGGCCUGCGUUGUUCCCACCAAGCCUGGGCCUGGAGAAUUGCUUAGUUUUAAAAUUCUUAUUGUGCUUCAUGGGUGGGUGACUUCAUAUUUAAGUUUUAAUGAUGCUUAAGUGUGAUAAUAAAAUGUAACUUUUAUUGAUACUCAUGUCUCACUCUCAUGUUCUUUGCCUUCAGUCGGUAAAACUUAUUUGGGAGUAUUUCCCUGGUUCUUUCCCAGGGUGGCGUAGUCGGAUUUACUAAACUGUGAUUAACAGUUCCUUCCAUGCAGGAUUGAUAUAUAAUAUAAAUCCAAGAACAUUACUGAACUAGAGGCCACUGCUCAUGAGGAAUGGGCUGAGAUUCCUCAGGACCGCUGGCAGAAGCUCUGCAUCUUGUUAUCAGCAGGUCAUAACAGCAAAAGCGUGCUCUACUAAGUACUAAAAAUGCCAUGAAGGGGUUGAAUAAUUUUGAGACUGGAGAAGUCAUUAUAAGUUGCAUUUUCAGUUGAAUUUGGGUAAACCACUUGAUGCAUUCAUUGUGUUGAACUAUUUCAAUUGCUUUUGUUUGAUGUGUUCAUUGCAAACAGUUGAAAGUCUAUAAAUUUUGACAAUAAACCUGAUUUGCAAUGGGGGUUGAAUAAUUUUGAUUGCAACUAUACGACUAUACUUAUAAUACACACUGCCUACACUUGCUAAAAGUUGCCAAAGGCAAUGUCCACAUGUGUCGGGUUAUUCACGCCCACUGUUUUGGUAUGGGAUGGAUGUUAGCUAGCUCAUUUAAUGCCAAUCGUAUGAAUCGGUUAUAAUAGACAGUGUUAACAUUAGCUGAGACAAAACUUAAAAUGUGUCACUGAACCACAAAUUAUCUAUAUUUAGCUUCUCAUUUUUUGAUGCUGUGGAAACAUUUUACACACGUCUCAAAGUUCAAUUUAUCUUUAGAGUUCAGUUUUACAUACUGCCAUUAUGUUGAAUUGUCUGUGACUGUCAGACUGAGUCAACAUUUCCCACUCUGAUCAUCACUGGGCUUUAAAGCGGUUGUGGUGUUUUGUUUUUCUCAGCAGUGUGAGUUAAACAGUGAGAAAGAGAGAGGAGGUGCUAAACUGAUUUUGCACCGCUGAUCCAUCAUUUCACAUUCUCAGGCUAAAUGAAGAAAAAAAUCUUUACAUGAUGGUGAAAAUAAAUUAAUAUUGACAAAAUAUAUAUCUUGACUAUAAUUAUAUAAUAAUUUUAUAAUUGGACUGGAUUGCUUUUUUCAAAAAAGUUCACAAUAUUAAUACUUUUGACAACACCACUCUCACAUCUAACUCCACAUGGACCAGCAAACUAACCCCUGCAUGUAGUGAUGGCCAGUUCUUGAAUGAACUGUUCUUUUGAGCUGAUUCUCCAGAAGUAAUCAGUUAAGCUGGUUCACAAAAUCAAACUGAAUCUAACUUUAAUUCCGGGUUGAUGACGCAAGAUGCACAGCUGUAGUAGCACGGUCCACAGCAUGUCCGACUCAAAAAGAACCGUAUGAACCGGUUCAACUAACUGUCGAGGUUUGCAGAGGAUCAGCGAGGAUUCAGACGAGUGAGUUGCUGACACUAUGCACAUGACUUGAACGAGCCUGAUGUGAAAUGUAAAUUUAUUUAAUAACAAACAAAACGUAUUGGAAUUGUACUUAUGGCUAGUUUUAUUAAAUACAUUCUUAUUAAAAUAUGGAAAAUCCUUUCUAUCAAGAAAUAUAAAUGAAUUUUAUUAAAGCUUAUUGUGUAUGCAGAUUAUAUUUUAAGUUGUUAAGCUAAAUCAUGGAGUUUAUAAGACUAGUUUAUUCUUUCCUUAUACUUCAGACACGUAGAACAUAUCUGUGUUUGUACAUCAGUGUGUGUUAUGUAUGCUGUAGGUGUAAAACUUUAAUGGAGGAGACUUGUCCAAGAUGUAGGCUACUCAAUACUGGUCAGUCGAAUCUUACACGAAGGAUCAGCAAAUUAAACUGUGACCACGAACACCGUUAACUUAAGUGAAUAAAAGGCAAUAAUCAGCAAUAUGCGUUCACACAAAUGACUUUAUUUGAAGGUUUCAUUGAUACAACAUGACAGACACAUGCACUACGCCAUUGCUUGAUGAUGUUAAAGCAGGGGUCGGGAACCUUUUUGGCUGAGACAGCCAUGAACGCCACAUAUUUUAAAAUGUAAUUCCGUGAGCCAUACAAUAUGUUUAAAACUAAAUACAAGUAAAUGUGUGCAUUUUAUGUAAGACCAACACUUUUAAAGUACAAUAAGUCUCUGAAUUCUUUUUAAUAACGUUGUUGUGCUGUUUCUUACCAAUGAUGAAUAAAGUACUUCUUGGCAUUAAUGCGACUUCUGGUGCUGCAGGGUUUUCUGAUGGCUUUGUAGUCUGGUUGAUACGUGGUGAGGUUAAGCUUCAUGCAGGCGUUGAGACUUCCAUCCGUUAAACGUGAUCGUAGGUUGUUCUUAAUGUUCUUUAGAUGUGAGAAAGACUGCUCACAUGCAUACGUAGAGCCAAACAUGGUCAGUAGAGCAAUACUCACACGCUGCAGUGUGUGCUAUGUGACGGGAAGCGCGUUCCAAGUUUUGACAAUCAGCUGGUCCGCGGGUUGAAGUUUUUUCAUUUCUCCCCACUUGUGUUUGCUCGCCAACUCUGCUUGCUGUCGUGCAAGUCUUCCCAAAUCUUCAUCCAGCGACUUGAACUUAUUCACCCACAUGUCUGAGGCCUUCAGGUCAGCAGCUUGUAGCUCAGGAUCUCUGACGGAGACACCGGGGCUGUAACUCAGGUCGGCCUGUCCACUGCACACUCGUGUGGAUGGGUGAUGAACUUAAAAAGACGAGUGCGCUCACGAAAUUCUCCAAAGCGCGCUUUGAAUGACUGCAGGAGAUUAGAUGUGAAGCCGCUGUGUAGUAUGGCGUGUGUCGAAGUGCUGCUUUAUAUUUGACCGUUUCAUCGAUGCAAUUUUAUCAUUGCAUAUUAGACACACUGCAGAAGCUGCUCUCUCCACAAAGGCGAAUUCCUCUGUCCAUUCCUGCUGAAAAGUACGAUACUCAUCUUUUUUUCUUUUAGACAUCUUCUUCGAUAAAAGGG